CCUGCACCUUGUUGUCUCGGAUUCUCCAGCAUCUGCAGUUCCUACUCUCUCUGAAAUCCGGCUGGGAGUUGGGGAUCAGUCACGUGACGGCGGCGCUCCCGCCCUGUUGUUCUUUCCCUCCACGGCGAGUUGACCUUAAAUGUUUUAAAUAACGCACAAUUUAUGCAGCACAACGCUGUUUGCUCUCUUGUUUACCUUUUAGAUUUUGUUUUGUUUUUGUGUGUGUGUGUGUGUGUCGCGGACACACCGCACCCAGAAAGCCCUUCGCGGCGUCCGCCCCGUCACGUGACGAAGGAGUUUAUUUUAACCUCGAGCCAAAGGCGGCAAAAAAAAAUACCCGGAGGGAGAAGGAGAGCUCGCGGCCGGCGGUAGCGGCGGUUAGUGCCUGACCCAGGGAGUGGUGUGUCUGCGUUAUAUACAUCCAUACACCCCCCUGGGUGGGGGGGAAACACAUACACACCGACUGGAGUUCUAACAAUGGCCACCAAUAUGAGGCACAGACGUGAUGCCAGUAAACAUCCUCAAACCAUAAAGAGUUUCUUUACGAGCGGAGCUAUAAGUAACACAACAGUGAGACGAACUUUACAAGUGAUUCAGCCGCUUGCUACUUCAGAUCAACUUGUUGGCAGGCUAAAUGAG